rnacentral:tRNA from 1 species
GAGACUGUCGCCAAGUGGUAAGGCAAGGGACUGCAACUCCCUUAUCGUUGGUUCGACCCCAACCAGUCUCUCCA